UAAUAAAGCCUUGUCCCGUUUUAAGUGUUGUAGCCCCUGAUCACCGAUACCCUGUCCGACUGACGUAGGGCCCCGUAACGUAUGUCAAGGCUCUGCCUAAAUUCGUUGGGGUUCUGUCUCGUGACGUAGGGAUAAAGUGGAAUUGGGUUACUAUACUUGAUGUGGGUGCACUAUAUAUUUUAUUAAAUAACCCAGAAGUGAUACCCAAAAUAUAACAACCCUCUCGAAUAUUUUUCUGAUACCCUACACUUCCUAAAAUACACCCCGUAUGUGAAAACCGAGCCCGAAAUACAAUAUACUAUUAAAAAUAAUUAAAAACAAGAAAAUAUAAGUUUAGGCGGGCCGCGUAAAGAUCCUCGAUUAGUUAACGCGGGCCGCGAGAGAUCGAAGUUGUGGCGCAGCCCGGUGAUGACACGUGUCAUCAUCGUGGCGGGUCUAGGGGGUGAGCCGGACAAGCUAGUCCGUUGACCAGGAUUGACGCGGGCCGCGUAACCCCUGUCCUUUCUUUACGCGGGCCGCGUGGGAACCAGUUUCAGCAACUAUAAAUAGAGGCCAUCGGAUUUCAUUUGGAAUUCGCUCACGAACGUUUUCUUCUCUCAAAUCUGAAUAUUAGGCAUAAUACUCGGGUAUUAUACCCCCUAAUUAGCGAAGCUCUGCCUCGUUAUAAGUAUCAUAACCCCUGGAUACGUAUUAGAUACUCUGCCCGAUUGAUCUAGGGUUCCGUAACGGCUGUCGUGGUUCUGCCCGACGUAGUCGUUGGAAUGCCGUCUCGGGGAGGGUAUUACUAAUGUUAAAAUGGGUUAUUAUACUAACGCGUGUGCAUUGUUUAUUUAAUUAGACUAUAACCAGGAAAUCACAAAGGAAAGCCCUAUGAUAGCAUUGUAACUUAGUGUGAAGCCAAUAUAAGCCAGCUGGAGAGCACUGAAGGCUUGGAAAAGUGGCUAUAAAGUUACCUAAGAUAAAAUAGAUGUUUUUAUUAAAUAAAAAGAGGAUUUAUUCCUAUGAAAAUGUGUGUACUGCAAAACUUGGGUUUUAUCCCAUGUGUUUAAUAUUAUGAAAAUAUGGUGGUUUUACUCUGAUAAAAUAUUUCCUAACUACGGUCCUGAUGAAAAAUUCCGCUGCCAAAUUAGACAAUACUCGAUACCACCGAAACUGGAUCACGGCCGCCCGUUCCCGCAUUUGUACCAGGAGAGAACAGGGGUUGUGACAGAUGUGCAUAUGAUACUUGUACAUUAUGCUUUAUUAAUGUUAUGCACGCCAUGUGUUUGAUGAAAUGCUUGAGUAUUGUCUAAUGUGUGAUCAUCGUGAUUUCAUAUGCAUAUGAUGAAAAUGAUUUGGAUUGGUGAAAUGAUGAGUUAGUAACUCACUAUGUAGAUGUAAAUAUGAGAAUGCAAGCGUGGAUGGAAUGGAUUAUGUAUGUAUAUGAGUAUGUGUAUAUAAGUAAGUGAUCAUGUAGUUGCAGAUGUCAUACAAUACGAGUGUGUAAUGCGUAUAAUGUAAUAUUAUGGUCUACCCUAUUAAGAUGGAUACAUGUUCAUAAGUUGAAAGUGUGUAAAUAGGACAUUUGACUUCCUGAAAGUCAACAAUGAACGUAUAGCAUGUUAGCCUUUCGGACAUGAUUGUAAUAGUAGAGAAGUCAUGUGUAUCGUAGUAGAUGAUCUACGUGUCGUGUAUGAUGAUAAUUGAGUUGCGUGAAUAUAGACCAAGGUGACUUUUAGUCUAUGCCUUAUGUAUGUGGUAAUUGAUUAAUAAAAAGUCAAGUAAUGUAUGAAUGGAAAGAAACAAAUGUUAGUAUGAAUGAGCACGUAUGCUAACCAUGAUGUGAUUGUGAUCACUUGAAAGGAUAGGAAUCACAUUAGCAUGGAUUCAAGCAUGAAAGGCUAACGGGUCAAGAGGAGACAAGGAAGUGGAUACGGACACGGAUGCACAAG
rnacentral:lncRNA from 1 species